rnacentral:rRNA from 1 species
UUCUAAUGUCGUUGGAGUAGCGGCGUUAAUACGUAGGUGGGUAGGGGUGUGCGGAAUUGUUGGGGGUAAAGCGCUCGCAGGCUGUCCUUGAAGUCGGAGUGGAAAGCCCACGGCUCAACCGGGGAGGGUCAGUGGAAACUGGGGGAAUUGAGUGCAGAAGAGGAAAGCGGAAUUCCACGUGUAGCGGUGAAAUGCGUAGAGAUGUGGAGGAACACCAGUGGCGAAGGCGGCUUUCUGGUCUGUAACUGACGCUGAGGCGCGAAAGCGUGGGGAGCAAACAGGAUUAGAUACCCUGGUAGUC